ensembl:lncRNA
CAACAAUGGUCUUGAAAACAGCAUAUAGUCUGUUGGUCGUUUUUCUCUGGUCCGUGACUGCAACUACGGCAACAAACUGCGACCAGAUAACCCAGGUGGUGUUGUCAGUAACUGCUGUCAAAAGAAGACAGAAUGUAACACUGACCUGUGUCACCAACUGUACUCUGACCAACGCUACCUACAUCUGGUACAGAAACGGUCAACGUCUAGAUGAGCCUACUUCCAAGCAACAUUCAGUAAUAAGUACUUUCUCAUCCAGUUACUCCUGUUCUGUAAAAGACCUUGAGGAUCUCCACUCUCCUUCAGUGUGUGUUCUGGGUAGAAAAUGUUUCAACGUGACUUAUACC